rnacentral:rRNA from 1 species
GACGAACGCUGGCGGCGUGCCUAAUACAUGCAAGUCGAGCGAAGCGUGGACGGGUGAGUAACACGUCAGGAACCUCCCAUAAGCGGGGGACAACAUCCGGAAACCGGUGCUAAACCGCAUACUUAUCGCUGGCCUUGCGGUGCAUUAGCUCGUUGGUGGGGUAACGGCUUACAAAGGCAAUGAUGCAUAGCCGACCUGAGAGGGUAAUCGGCCACACUGGAACUGAGACACGGGCCAGACUCCUACGGGAGGCAGCAGUAGGGAAUCUUCCGCAAUGGGCGCAAGCCUGACGGAGCAACGCCGCGUGAGUGAAGAAGGUUUUCGGAGCGUAAAGCUCUGUUAUAAGGGAAGCGGUAUCUUACCAGAAAGCCACGGCUAACUACGUGCCAGCAGCCGCGGUAAUAC